UCCCAUGUAGGCCAAUUAUCACACCCGGUC
rnacentral:piRNA from 1 species